UGCGCNCCUACCAUGCNAAUCGAACGGAAACGAUGGAAGCUUGCUUCCAGGCGUCGAGUGGCGGACGGGUGAGUAAUACUUAGGAAUCUGCCCAGUAGUGGGGGACAACAUUCGGAAACGGAUGCUAAUACCGCAUACGCACUACGGUGGAAAGUGGGGGACCUUCGGGCCUCACGCUAUUGGAUGAGCCUAAGUCGGAUUAGCUUGUUGGUGAGGUAAUAGCUCACCAAGGCGACGAUCCGUAGCUGGUCUGAGAGGACGAUCAGCCACACUGGGACUGAGACACGGCCCAGACUCCUACGGGAGGCAGCAGUGGGGAAUAUUGGACAAUGGGCGCAACCCUGAUCCAGCGACGCCGCGUGGGUGAAGAAGGCCUGCGGGUUGUAAAGCCCUUUCGGUAGGGACGAAAGCUUCCGAUCUAAUAAAUCGGAAGGUUGACUUAACCUACAAAAGAAGCACCGGCUAACUCUGUGCCAGCAGCCGCGGUAAUACAGAGGGUGCGAGCGUUAAUCGGAAUUACUGGGCGUAAAGCGCACGCAGGCGGCUUUGCAAGUCGGAUGUGAAAUCCCCGGGCUCAACCUGGGAACUGCAUUCGAUACUGUCAGGCUAGAGUAUGGUAGAGGGAAGUGGAAUUCCAGGUGUAGCGGUGAAAUGCGUAGAUAUCUGGAGGAACAUCAGUGGCGAAGGCGACUUCCUGGACCAAUACUGACGCUGAGGUGCGAAAGCGUGGGGAGCGAACAGGAUUAGAUACCCUGGUAGUCCACGCCGUAAACGAUGUCAACUAGGUGUUGGGAAGUUUAACUUCUUAGUAUCGUAGCUAACGCGUUAAGUUGACCGCCUGGGGAGUAC
rnacentral:rRNA from 1 species